rnacentral:lncRNA from 1 species
UAUAAAUAGAGGGGUAUUACCCCAUUGUAAAUCACCCCAAAAAUUCAGUAAGAAUUUUCUCUCUCUUUCUCUGCAAUAUUGCUCUUGUUCUUUAUAUUUUAUAACACGUUAUCAGCAUGAAGCUCUACUAUCUCAAGAAUCUCUUCGAGAAAAUUAAGGAAUUUUUUCUCCUCCUAAUUUUGUUUUAAUUAUGUCUGACAUUAUGAAAAGAAAGUUUGUUGCCC